rnacentral:tRNA from 6 species
GGGUGCCCGGUGCGCAGGACCGGGUUACUUCCACUGUCAAUGGGAUGGUUGCGGGUUCGAGUCCCGUCCGGCGUCCG